CAGGAUAAUGAUUAGAUUUAUAGGAUUCAAUUUUUAGGUUGUCUUGAAAGUAUGACUUACUUGAAGGUUGAUCACUGUCUACGUGUUCCACUGUCUUGAUCGAUUCCAGGUAAUGGGUUCCACAUCGAAGGAUGAUCGAUUGCAGGCGACGAUCGAUUGCAGGCGACGAUCGAUUGCAGGCGACGAUCGAUUCCAGGCGACGAUCGAUUCCAGGCGACGAUCGAUUCCAGGCGACGAUUGAUUGGGUACUAGAACGAUCGAUACCAGGCAACGAUUGAUUGGGUACUAGUACUAAAAUCGCACUCAAGACGAAAGUCAACCAGACAAUCAAUAAUGACAUACCAUAAAUGCAACUAGACCAUCAAUCACUUUCGCAACA
rnacentral:lncRNA from 1 species